rnacentral:tRNA from 2 species
GGAGAGGUGUCCGAGUGGCUUAAGGAGCACGCUUGGAAAGCGUGUGUGCCGGCAACGGUACCGAGGGUUCGAAUCCCUCUCUCUCCG